rnacentral:lncRNA from 1 species
CAGAUCUGUGGGAAAUUUCAGGUAACCUUAUUAUUGUAGACAUUAUUUGAUUUUUUAUGGUUUUAUUUUCAAUGUCGAAAAAGACUUGCUGGGUUUGUAUUUUCUGUUUCUAUGUUAUGCAUUGUUCAGUAAUUGUAAAAGGGUUUUAGGUUUUUAUGCACGAAAUUGGGUAAUGCAAGGUAAAUAAUAAAUAUGCAGAUCAGUAAUGUCUAAUCCUGCAAAUUUUUGUAUUUUUGGUAAAUAAUAAACUGUUGCUAGUUGUUGUUUUUGUAUUUGGAAUACUUGUAAAGUGCCAGUAUUUGGUUUUUUGAACUGCAUGUGUAGUUAAACUGUUAUUGGUUGUUUUUGUUGGAUUGUUUGUGCUACAUUGUUGGUUUUGACCUGUUUCUGAUAUUAAACUGUUGUUUUUGUUUUUUCUUUGGACUGCUUGAGUAAUUAGGAUGAGCAUUUUGCCUAUAUUUUCACUACUAUUGGUGUUAGCUCUGAACUAUUUACUAAAAUGAUUAAAAUUGGUUCAUGACACUCUUUUCCUAUGCCAUUGAAUUGUUCUAAGUAUGAGUGCAAUCAUACUCAUAGUAGCUUUUAUUAUUUUUCAU